GGUAGCCUAGUGGUUAGAGUGUAGGGGCGGCAGGUAGCCUAGUGGUUAGAGUGUAGGGGCGGCAGGUAGCCUAGUGGUUAGAGUGUAGGGGCGGCAGGUAGCCUAGUGGUUAGAGUGUAGGGGCGGCAGGUAGCCUAGUGGUUAGAGUGUAGGGGCGGCAGGUAGCCUAGUGGUUAGAGUGUAGGGGCGGCAGGUAGCCUAGUGGUUAGAGUGUAGGGGCGGCAGGUAGCCUAGUGGUUAGAGUGUAGGGGCGGCAGGUAGCCUAGUGGUUAGAGUGUAGGGGCGGCAGGUAGCCUAGUGGUUAGAGAGUAGGGGCGGCAGGUAGCCUAGUGGUUAGAGUGUAGGGGCGGCAGGUAGCCUAGUGGUUAGAGUGUAGGGGCGGCAGGUAGCCUAGUGGUUAGAGUGUAGGGGCGGCAGGUAGCCUAGUGGUUAGAGUGUAGGGGCGGCAGGUAGCCUAGUGGUUAGAGUGUAGGGGCGGCAGGUAGCCUAGUGGUUAGAGUGUAGGGGCGGCAGGUAGCCUAGUGGUUAGAGUGUAGGGGCGGCAGGUAGCCUAGUGGUUAGAGUGUAGGGGCGGCAGGUAGCCUAGUGGUUAGAGUGUAGGGGCGGCAGGUAGCCUAGUGGUUAGAGAGUAGGGGCGGCAGGUAGCCUAGUGGUUAGAGUGUAGGGGCGGCAGGUAGCCUAGUGGUUAGAGUGUAGGGGCGGCAGGUAGCCUAGUGGUUAGAGUGUAGGGGCGGCAGGUAGCCUAGUGGUUAGAGUGUAGGGGCGGCAGGUAGCCUAGUGGUUAGAGUGUAGGGGCGGCAGGUAGCCUAGUGGUUAGAGUGUAGGGGCGGCAGGUAGCCUAGUGGUUAGAGUGUAGGGGCGGCAGGUAGCCUAGUGGUUAGAGUGUAGGGGCGGCAGGUAGCUUAGUGGUUAGAGUGUAGGGGCGGCAGGUAGCCUAGUGGUUAGAGUGUAGGGGCGGCAGGUAGCCUAGUGGUUAGAGUGUAGGGGCGGCAGGUAGCCUAGUGGUUAGAGUGUAGGGGCGGCAGGUAGCCUAGUGGUUAGA